GUCCACAAUAUGGGAGUUGUCCAGUAGCCAGCUCUUCAUUGGUCCUGGGGUGAUGUCCUCCAGCUGAUGAUAUUUUCGGCACUUAGAUGAUUCAAAUUGGGCGCGUUCAGUAAAAAAAAGCCGAAACCUUAAGUGGACAUAAUCCUUUACUUCCGCGUUCCAUUUGCGUUCCACGUGCGUUCCGUUGCUCUCUCUAAGUCACAUCAGGGAGACAGCAUUGCAAGUGAUCACAGAAACGGCUGAAUAGCCAAAUAGUAACAAAUAAACUAAAUACAAU